UACCUUCGUCAACGUCCCCCUCCCUCCCGGCGCGGCCCGCAACCCACCCCACCUUCUUCCAUCGUGCGGCCCGCAGGGGCUGGCGCCCCGCUCCCCCAUCCCACCUUCUUCCCCCGGGCACGCGCCGCCGCGCACCUUUUCCUCCUGGCCGGGGCCGCCGCGCGUCCUCUGCACCACCCGGACCACAAACCUCCCCCCGCCGUGCGCCCCACAUCCCCUCCCCCCCCCCCCCCCCCGCGCCACCGACGGAGCCGGCCAAUCCCGGAUCCACUCCACUCCAUCCCUGCUACCUUCCCAUGGUGUCAAGGCAGCCAAGAUGCACGGUGCCCCGGCGACCUCUUGCCCGGAGACGACCAGCGACGGAGCCGGCCAAUCCCGGAUCCACUCCACUCCAUCCCUGCUACCUUCCCAUGGUGUCAAGGCAACCAAGAUGCAUGGUGCCCCGGCGACCUCUUGCUCGGAGACGACCAGCGCAUCGCCCCCUACAACCAUCUCCGCGUGACACUUGCGCUCCUCUCCACCUCGUGCAUCCGCGCGCGCGGAUCCUCUGCUACCCACGGCAGCCUCCUCGCCAUGCCCUGCCUGCUUCAGAUCCAUGGCCAGCCCAGCUCCUGUCCGCCCCUAGCUCCGGCGAGCUAUCCUCCCCCUUGCUCUUGAGCCAUGCAGUCAACUGUCACAGCCAAUGGACUUAGCAAUCCCAGGGGCGUCAGGGGCAGCUGGCUUCAAAAAUUGGAGGGGGUUCAGUUAUCUCAGGGGUCCACAACGAGGGAGCCGAGGCAGCCACUGCGCCGCCAGCCCCGUGCAGCUCAGUCCUCCGCCCACCGGAUCACGGCACCGUCGACACAAAGUGCACCACCAGUCCCCGCCCACUGCACUUCAUCUCGGUUCAUUGCCUCGCCACCACAUCGGGCUUCCCUAGCGGCCUGACCCGCCUUUCCCGGUCAGCCCCGGCGACCACGAGCUCUCCCGGAGCCCUCGCGUCCGGUUGUCGUUGAAGUGACCACAGUGGGAAGCCGCCAGCAAUGGAGCAGAUCCAGGCUCAACGAGCACCGCUGGAUCCAUCUCAGCCGCUCGCUGGACAGGCUAAUUUUGCAAAUUCUGUUCGGUACACGUAUUUGCUUUCACUUCGUGCUAUUUCUGCAGUUUAUUUUAUCUCUAUGGUGGCAUGUGUUGAUGCAGUGCACUCUGCGAUACAGCGGUGCUUGAUUUUGGAACAAAUGUUCAGUGCGUGCGGUGCAAAAAGUUAGGUUCAGUUUCAGCUCCGUUGUGUGCAUUACUCCAUUUUUGCCAGUGCGGAUUGCAUCAACGAGUAGUGCGGCACAUGUACCAAAGGAGAGAAAAAGUAUGCCAACAUUUUUCGGAAGUUUCGUUUUAUUGUUCAAGGACA